rnacentral:rRNA from 1 species
GAUCAUGGCUCGGGAUGAACGCUAGCUACAGGCUUAACACAUGCAAGUCGAGGGGCAGCAUGGACUCAGCUUUGCUGGGUUUGAUGGCGACCGGCGCACGGGUGAGUAACGCGUAUCCAACCUGCCCUUUACUCCGGGAUAGUCUCCUGAAAGGGAGUUUAAUACCGGAUGUGUUUGUCUUUCCGCAUGGGAGCGACAAAUAAAGAUUGAUUGGUAAAGGAUGGGGAUGCGUCCCAUUAG